rnacentral:tRNA from 1 species
CAUUAGAUGACUGAAAGCAAGUAAUGGUCUCUUAAACCAAACAAUAGUAAAUUAGCAAUUACUUCUGAUGA